GGUCCUGUAGCUUAGUUGGUCAGAGCAUGGCUCUUAUGAGUUGAAGGUCGCAGGUUUGAAUCUCGUCCGGACCA
rnacentral:tRNA from 1 species